rnacentral:rRNA from 1 species
ACGGGUGAGUAAUACAUCGGAACGUAUCCUGGAGUGGGGGAUAGCCCGGCGAAAGCCGGAUUAAUACCGCAUACGCUCUGAGGAGGAAAGCGGGGGACCUUCGGGCCUCGCGCUCAAGGGGCGGCCGAUGGCGGAUUAGGUAGUUGGUGGGGUAAAGGCCUACCAAGCCGACGAUCCGUAGCUGGUCUGAGAGGACGACCAGCCACGCUGGGACUGAGACACGGCCCAGACUCCUACGGGAGGCAGCAGUGGGGAAUUUUGGACAAUGGGGGCAACCCUGAUCCAGCAAUGCCGCGUGUGUGAAGAAGGCCUUCGGGUUGUAAAGCACUUUUGUCCGGAAAGAAAUCAUCGGGGCCAAUACCCCUGGUGGAUGACGGUACCGGAAGAAUAAGCACCGGCUAACUACGUGCCAGCAGCCGCGGUAAUACGUAGGGUGCGGGCGUUAAUCGGAAUUACUGGGCGUAAAGCGUGCGCAGGCGGUGCUGUAAGACCGAUGUGAAAUCCCCGGGCUUAACCUGGGAACUGCAUUGGUGACUGCAGCGCUGGAGUAUGGCAGAGGGGGGUGGAAUUCCACGU